rnacentral:ncRNA from 1 species
CCGCCUCGAAGCUCCCUUCCCAACGGGCGGUGGGCUGAAUCCUUUGCAGACGACUUAAAUACGCGACGGGGCAUUGUAAGUGGCAGAGUGGCCUUGCUGCCACGAUCCACUGAGAUCCAGCCCCAUGUCGCACGGAUUCCU